rnacentral:rRNA from 2 species
GGUUAAGCGACUAAGCGUACACGGUGGAUGCCCUGGCAGUCAGAGGCGAUGAAGGGCGUGCUAAUCUGCGAUAAGCGCCGGUAAGGUGAUAUGAACCGUUAUAACCGGCGAUACCCGAAUGGGGAAACCCAGUGUGAUUCGUCACACUAUCAUUAACUGAAUCCAUAGGUUAAUGAGGCGAACCGGGGGAACUGAAACAUCUAAGUACCCCGAGGAAAAGAAAUCAACCGAGAUUCCCCCAGUAGCGGCGAGCGAACGGGGAGGAGCCCAGAGCCUGAAUCAGCAUGUGUGUUAGUGGAAGCGUCUGGAAAGGCGCGCGAUACAGGGUGACAGCCCCGUACACAAAAGCGCAUGUGCUGUGAGCUCGAUGAGUAGGGCGGGACACGUGGUAUCCUGUCUGAAUAUGGGGGGACCAUCCUCCAAGGCUAAAUACUCCUGACUGACCGAUAGUGAACCAGUACCGUGAGGGAAAGGCGAAAAGAACCCCGGCGAGGGGAGUGAAAAAGAACCUGAAACCGUGUACGUACAAGCAGUGGGAGCCCCACCACUAAGCCAGUGGUGAACUCCACAUCCGCAUCCUUUGCUGAGGAUACGGUUAACGGAGCGAAAGCGACGUUCAACCGCAAAACAAGCAGAGGGGGCUUAGUGGUGGGGUGACUGCGUACCUUUUGUAUAAUGGGUCAGCGACUUAUAUUCUGUAGCAAGGUUAACCGAAUAGGGGAGCCGGAGGGAAACCGAGUCUUAAUUGGGCGUUAAGUUGCAGGGUAUAGACCCGAAACCCGGUGAUCUAGCCAUGGGCAGGUUGAAGGUUGGGUAACACUAACUGGAGGACCGAACCGACUAAUGUUGAAAAAUUAGCGGAUGACCUGUGGCUGGGGGUGAAAGGCCAAUCAAACCGGGAGAUAGCUGGUUCUCCCCGAAAGCUAUUUAGGUAGCGCCUCGUGAAUUCAUCUCCGGGGGUAGAGCACUGUUUCGGCUAGGGGGCCAUCCCGGCUUACCAACCCGAUGCAAACUGCGAAUACCGGAGAAUGUUAUCACGGGAGACACACGGCGGGUGCUAACGUCCGUCGUGAAGAGGGAAACAACCCAGACCGCCAGCUAAGGUCCCAAAGUCAUGGUUAAGUGGGAAACGAUGUGGGAAGGCCCAGACAGCCAGGAUGUUGGCUUAGAAGCAGCCAUCAUUUAAAGAAAGCGUAAUAGCUCACUGGUCGAGUCGGCCUGCGCGGAAGAUGUAACGGGGCUAAACCAUGCACCGAAGCUGCGGCAGCGAACGUAUCACCCAAGACAACUUUACGGAGUUGACGAUUGACGGAGCGAAGCGACGUCAAAGCGUUCAUUAAAGUCGAGUUGGCUUAGGGAUACGUUCGUUGGGUAGGGGAGCGUUCUGUAAGCCUGUGAAGGUGUGUCGUGAGGCAUGCUGGAGGUAUCAGAAGUGCGAAUGCUGACAUAAGUAACGAUAAAGCGGGUGAAAAGCCCGCUCGCCGGAAGACCAAGGGUUCCUGUCCAACGUUAAUCGGGGCAGGGUGAGUCGACCCCUAAGGCGAGGCCGAAAGGCGUAGUCGAUGGGAAACGGGUUAAUAUUCCCGUACUUGGUGUUACUGCGAAGGGGGGACGGAGAAGGCUAUGUUGGCCGGGCGACGGUUGUCCCGGUUUAAGCGUGUAGGUGUGUGUUCCAGGUAAAUCCGGUUCACUUUAACACUGAGGCGUGACGACGAGGCACUACGGUGCUGAAGCAACAAAUGCCCUGCUUCCAGGAAAAGCCUCUAAGCAUCAGGUAACAUCAAAUCGUACCCCAAACCGACACAGGUGGUCAGGUAGAGAAUACCAAGGCGCUUGAGAGAACUCGGGUGAAGGAACUAGGCAAAAUGGUGCCGUAACUUCGGGAGAAGGCACGCUGACACGUAGGUGAAGUGAUUUACUCAUGGAGCUGAAGUCAGUCGAAGAUACCAGCUGGCUGCAACUGUUUAUUAAAAACACAGCACUGUGCAAACACGAAAGUGGACGUAUACGGUGUGACGCCUGCCCGGUGCCGGAAGGUUAAUUGAUGGGGUCAGCGCAAGCGAAGCUCCUGAUCGAAGCCCCGGUAAACGGCGGCCGUAACUAUAACGGUCCUAAGGUAGCGAAAUUCCUUGUCGGGUAAGUUCCGACCUGCACGAAUGGCGUAAUGAUGGCCAGGCUGUCUCCACCCGAGACUCAGUGAAAUUGAACUCGCUGUGAAGAUGCAGUGUACCCGCGGCAAGACGGAAAGACCCCGUGAACCUUUACUAUAGCUUGACACUGAACAUUGAGCCUUGAUGUGUAGGAUAGGUGGGAGGCUUUGAAGUGUGGACGCCAGUCUGCAUGGAGCCGACCUUGAAAUACCACCCUUUAAUGUUUGAUGUUCUAACGUGGACCCGUUACCCGGGUUGCGGACAGUGUCUGGUGGGUAGUUUGACUGGGGCGGUCUCCUCCUAAAGAGUAACGGAGGAGCACGAAGGUUGGCUAAUCCUGGUCGGACAUCAGGAGGUUAGUGCAAUGGCAUAAGCCAGCUUGACUGCGAGCGUGACGGCGCGAGCAGGUGCGAAAGCAGGUCAUAGUGAUCCGGUGGUUCUGAAUGGAAGGGCCAUCGCUCAACGGAUAAAAGGUACUCCGGGGAUAACAGGCUGAUACCGCCCAAGAGUUCAUAUCGACGGCGGUGUUUGGCACCUCGAUGUCGGCUCAUCACAUCCUGGGGCUGAAGUAGGUCCCAAGGGUAUGGCUGUUCGCCAUUUAAAGUGGUACGCGAGCUGGGUUUAGAACGUCGUGAGACAGUUCGGUCCCUAUCUGCCGUGGGCGCUGGAGAACUGAGGGGGGCUGCUCCUAGUACGAGAGGACCGGAGUGGACGCAUCACUGGUGUUCGGGUUGUCAUGCCAAUGGCACUGCCCGGUAGCUAAAUGCGGAAGAGAUAAGUGCUGAAAGCAUCUAAGCACGAAACUUGCCCCGAGAUGAGUUCUCCCUGAGACUUAGAGUCUCCUGAAGGAACGUUGAAGACGACGACGUUGAUAGGCCGGGUGUGUAAGCGCAGCGAUGCGUUGAGCUAACCGGUACUAAUGAACCGUGAGGCUUAACCUU